GGAUGUACAUCAAGGACCAAGGA
rnacentral:piRNA from 1 species